CGCGACCGGGAAAGCAGGGAAUGAAAAAAGGUUUUAGGGGUUAAACUAGGGCUUAAACGUGUUGGGAAGCCAGACAGGCAAGAUGUGCAAUUGACUUAGACACAUCCAAGGAUAAUGAGGACUCAGGACCUGAGCAUCUCAUGUGGACAGCUGACCCACCUCUUCCAGGAGCUGUACAAGUAAAGUGAGCCUGUGUUAAUCUCUGA